CUUCCCAGCCAGCAGCAGGGAGAGCCAGCAAGCCCCAGCUGGAAAGGGAACAGCGUGGCCGAGACAGAGUUCAUCCCUUACAGAGGAGCUGCUGAAGGCAGGGGGCAGCUGGAGCUGCCUGCCUCCUGCCAGCGUCCCACGAGGGGCAGGGAGCCUCCCAUGAGGGUGAAAAGCUUUACCUUUCCUUGGCUACACCUACAGCACCACUGGAUGUCACUGUUGUUUCAUAAAAGACAAAAAUCUUACUGUGAUCUUUUUGACAGAUAAUGUUUAGUACAUAAAUAUAUACAUGUAUUUCUAGUCUCUUUCCCACAAUUUUCUGCAAAAGGAUUGAAAUUACAGAAAGUCUGUGCAGC